GAUGAACGCUGGCGGCGUGCCUAAUACAUGCAAGUCGAGCGAACGGACGAGAAGCUUGCUUCUCUGAUGUUAGCGGCGGACGGGUGAGUAACACGUGGAUCACCUACCUAUAAGACUGGGAUAACUUCGGGAAACCGUAGAUAAUACCGGAUAAUAUUUUGUACCGCAUGGUUCAAAAGUGAAAGACGGUCUUGCUGUCACUUAUAGAUGGAUCCGCGUUGCAUUAGCUAGUUGGUAAGGUAACGGCUUACCAAGGCAACGAUGCAUAGCCGACCUGAGAGGGUGAUCGGCCACACUGGAACUGAGACACGGUCCAGACUCCUACGGGAGGCAGCAGUAGGGAAUCUUCCGCAAUGGGCGAAAGCCUGACGGAGCAACGCCGCGUGAGUGAUGAAGGCCUUCGGAUCGUAAAACUCUGUUAUUAGGGAAGAACAUAUGUGUAAGUAACUGUGCACAUCUUGACGGUACCUAAUCAGAAAGCCACGGCUAACUACGUG
rnacentral:rRNA from 1 species